GGCCCCGUAGCUCAGCCUGGAGAAGUUGAUUAUCAAUAAGAAAUUGUUGAUUGUAUUAUAAAAACUUUAGGCACUUGGAGCGCACGACUGAUAAUCGUGAGGUCUCGUGUUCGAAUCACGACGGGGCCA
rnacentral:tRNA from 1 species